CUGACGUCUGGAAAGUCAAGGCUGGUGACAAGCAAUGCAGAGGUGUGUCCCCCACAUCUUCAGAUCACCAAAUUGCAGGUGUGGCAUGUCUUGAGGAGAGUGGAGGCCGAGGGUGAUAAUAGGACCUGGGUCCCUGUCCGCAGGUACACAGUUACCUGCCAAGCACAGCCUCAUAGGUGGCCACCCUUUGUAAACAAGCUUCCAUCUGAAGCUGACUCGCAGCUGCUAGGAAGGACACGGAGUUCUCCUGCAGUUCUUACUCCAUUUCCAGUGGUGGCACAUGGCAGGUACUGAGACAACACCCUAACCCUGGUCGGGGAGAGCCAGCAUUAUCAGGGCUCAAUGCACGUCCAAUGGGACGUGGUCCCCGUGGUCUCUUGGGAGCACCCACUUCCCCGCCUGACCUCUUAGAGCCUCAAGUUACUGUGCUUCCGUUCACUUCCACUUCAGCAAAGGGACAUGGGCAGAAAUGGAGUGAGCUGUUUGGACCCAGCGUGGGUCUCUGGAGCUCCAGGCUGUCAUGUUUAUCAGUAGCUGUCUUUAUCCUGCCUGAGUAGUAUUCUCCCACAGGACUGUGCCUCCAUUUGUCUCUCCGUUUACCUGCUGAAAAGCAGGAGGGUUGACUCCUGGUUUGGGCUUCUGUGACUACAACUGCUAUAAACACUUCUGCACGGAUUUUUAUGGGAACAUAA
rnacentral:lncRNA from 1 species